rnacentral:rRNA from 1 species
UACGGGGGGAGCAAGCGUUGUUCGGAUUUACUGGGCGUAAAGGGCGCGUAGGCGGCCAGCACAAGUCAGUUGUGAAAUCUCCGAGCUUAACUCGGAACGGUCAACUGAUACUGUGCGGCUAGAGUGCGGAAGGGGCAACUGGAAUUCUUGGUGUAGCGGUGAAAUGCGUAGAUAUCAAGAGGAACACCUGCGGCGAAGGCGGGUUGCGUGGGCCGACACUGACGCUGAGGCGCGAAAGCCAGGGGAGCGAACGGG